GCCCUUCUGGCUCCAGUCUUAACUACAGGCAAUGCUGACAUUCUCCUUCAGUUAUCAGUGGAGUUUGGAGUGC
ensembl:miRNA